rnacentral:rRNA from 1 species
AAUCAACGCUGGCGGCGUGCCUAACACAUGCAAGUCGAACGCGAAAGCCCUUUCGGGGGUAAGUAGAGUGGCGUCCGGGUGAGUAACACGUAGGUAAUCUGCCUUCGGGUGGGGAAUAACCAGUCGAAAGAUUGGCUAAUACCGCAUAAUGCAGCGGCACCUAAUGGUGAUUAGUUGUUAAAGCGGGGGAUCGUAAGACCUCGCGCCUGAAGAGGAGCCUGCGGCAGAUUAGCUAGNGGUGAGGUAAUGGCUCACCAAGGCUUCGAUCUGUAGCUGGUCUGAGAGGACGGCCAGCCACACUGGCACUGACACACGGGCCAGACUCCUACGGGAGGCAGCAGUGGGGAAUUUUGGGCAAUGGGCGAAAGCCUGACCCAGCAACGCCGCGUGAGGGAGGAAAUCCUUCGGGAUGUAAACCUCACAAGCAAGGGAAGAGAGCUCAGGGCCGAAUAAGCUUUGAGUCCGACGGUACCUUGCGUAA